rnacentral:rRNA from 1 species
UGAUCCUGGCUCAGAUUGAACGCUGGCGGCAUGCCUUACACAUGCAAGUCGUACGGCAGCGCGGGGCAACCUGGCGGCGAGUGGCGAACGGGUGAGUAAUAUAUCGGAACGUACCCUGGAGUGGGGGAUAACGUAGCGAAAGUUACGCUAAUACCGCAUACGAUCUAAGGAUGAAAGUGGGGGAUCGCAAGACCUCAUGCUCCUGGAGCGGCCGAUAUCUGAUUAGCUAGUUGGUGGGGUAAAGGCCUACCAAGGCAUCGAUCAGUAGCUGGUCUGAGAGGACGACCAGCCACACUGGAACUGAGACACGGUCCAGACUCCUACGGGAGGCAGCAGUGGGGAAUUUUGGACAAUGGGCGCAAGCCUGAUCCAGCAAUGCCGCGUGAGUGAAGAAGGCCUUCGGGUUGUAAAGCUCUUUUGUCAGGGAAGAAACGGUGAGUGCUAAUAUCUUUUGCUAAUGACGGUACUCUGAAGAAUAAGCACC